GAUGAACGCUAGCGGGAGGCUUAACACAUGCAAGUCGAGGGGUAUUCCGGUAACACGGGAGAGACCGGCGGACGGGUGCGUAACGCGUAUGCAACCUACCUUAUGCUGGAGGAUAGGCUUCGGAAACGGGGAUUAAUACUUCAUAAGCCUUAUGAUUUGCAUGAGUUAUAAGGGAAAGCUUAGGUGGCAUAAGAUGGGCAUGCGUCUGAUUAGCUUGAUGGUAAGGUAACGGCUUACCAUUGCAAUGAUCAGUAGGGGUCCUGAGAGGGAGGUCCCCCACACUGGUACUGAGAUACGGACCAGACUCCUACGGGAGGCAGCAGUGAGGAAUAUUGGGCAAUGGGCGGAAGCCUGACCCAGCCAUUCCGCGUGCAGGAAGAAGGCCUUAUGGGUUGUAAACUGCUUUUCUGCGGGGAGAAAAGCUCCAAUGCGUUGGGGAAUGACGGUACCGCAGGAAUAAGCAUCGGCUAACUCCGUGCCAGCAGCCGCGGUAAAACGUG
rnacentral:rRNA from 1 species